GAUGAACGCUGGCGGCGUGCCUAAUACAUGCAAGUCGAGCGAACAGACGAGGAGCUUGCUCCUCUGACGUUAGCGGCGGACGGGUGAGUAACACGUGGAUAACCUACCUAUAAGACUGGGAUAACUUCGGGAAACCGGAGCUAAUACCGGAUAAUAUAUUGAACCGCAUGGUUCAAUAGUGAAAGACGGUUUUGCUGUCACUUAUAGAUGGAUCCGCACCACAUUAGCUAGUUGGUAAGGUAACGGCUUACCAAGGCAACGAUGCGUAGCCGACCUGAGAGGGUGAUCGGCCACACUGGAACUGAGACACGGUCCAGACUCCUACGGGAGGCAGCAGUAGGGAAUCUUCCGCAAUGGGCGAAAGCCUGACGGAGCAACGCCGCGUGAGUGAUGAAGGUCUUCGGAUCGUAAAACUCUGUUAUUAGGGAAGAACAAAUGUGUAAGUAACUAUGCACGUCUUGACGGUACCUAAUCAGAAAGCCACGGCUAACUACGUG
rnacentral:rRNA from 1 species